GACGUAGGGCGCGAGCGUUGUCCGGAAUUAUUGGGCGUAAAGAGCUCGUAGGCGGUGUGUCGCGUCGGCCGUGAAAACCUGCAGCUUAACUGUGGGCUUGCGGUCGAUACGGGCAUCACUGGAGUUCGGCAGGGGAGACUGGAAUUCCUGGUGUAGCGGUGAAAUGCGCAGAUAUCAGGAGGAACACCGGUGGCGAAGGCGGGUCUCUGGGCCGGUACUGACGCUGAGGAGCGAAAGCGUGGGGAGCGAACAGG
rnacentral:rRNA from 1 species